AUAGCAGUCAGGAAUAAGGAGUCGUUAUUGAUGGCAGCGGGGACUCACCCGUAUGUGUGGCAAACUGUUGUGUUUUCACCAUAUAAGAAAUAGAAGACCAAUAGAACAGUAAUUAUGGAAGAAAUAAUAGACUGGUAUUUGAUAGAAUUUGAACGAUUACAAGGAAAAUUUGCAGGAAAUAGGAGAUGAGAGAAGAAAGUUACAGACUUAGGGAUGAGAAGAGAGCAGAAACAUAUUGCUGAAAUCUGGUAUUUUUCUUCCUUAAAAAAAGGUAGCUGCAUGAGGGAAGUGUGAGCCGUUAUUCCCUUCCACGUGCAACCAGCUGAGGUGUCACUUGACAAAAUCUUUCAGCCAUUUGGGAGCCAUUCUGGGCCGAGUGCUUCCUCUAGGAGCCUGUGUAUUGGUUAUUCCAGUAGUCUGCUGCUGCAUUGGUGGGUCGUUCAUAACACAAACUCAACGGCGGAAGAGGCAAGGGCGUGUCUUAGUGCCGUAGUUUUGGCAGAGAAGUUAGGUUUUCGGGAAGUAAUUGUUGAGGGGGAUGCGUUGACUGUUAUUAAGAAAUUUCGAUUGGAAAGGGAUGUGAUUCAAGGAAGAAUUCGAAUCCAGUAGUCGGAACGAGGACUAUGUACAAGGAUAUGGAAGAUUUUCUUUUCAAGAUGCUAGGAGAGGAAUUUCGAUUGGAAAGGGAUGCGAUUCAAGUUCUCAGUAAACCUUCAUACGAAAUCAUAUAUCAUUGUUAAUUGAAUUUUAAGUCAAUAUUACAUUUGUUUAACUGCUAAUCAAGUUUUAUUUUUCAAUAUGCAGAUAGAUGUGGAUACAACAUGCAAAAGGUAUGGAACUAUGAACAAUGUCCUCGUUUUAGAGGAUCUUAAAAGUUCGUAUUAAACAGAUAUGCAAUUACUAAGCUUUGUUAGUGCAAUUUAUCGUGCAUUAUUUGGGCAAAUUAAGUUUCUAUUGUUAUUUUAUUUUUGUUCAUUAGCCUUUUAAUGGUGGUUUACAUUGCGAAAUAUGAUAAUCCUGAAGGUUUUCUUAACGGUUGUGAAUGACAUUUCUCCAUUUACUAUGGUAUGUUUGAACUUGUUAGAACUGACGGAUAUUCCUUUCCUCUCUCUUGUCUUAUAAGAGCAUGGAGAAGCUUCUUGACCGGUCGAUGUUUACUUUAUAUGUGAAUUUUAGUUUACCUUGUUUCGAUGUUCACUUGCAUAUGAAGAUGAAGAAGAAGAAUAAGACAGUUUCCAGUUUCUUCGAAGAUUCGUGAAGGAAUAUAGGGCUACAAUGAAGGAAUAUUAUAAAGCUACAAGUCUUGAGUUUUCAAAAUGUUGUUGAUGCUUUGUUUAAGGGGGAUCAAGAUCAAGCAAACAAAAUUCUCGAACAGGAUUUUGGUGUGGCAUGGACAAACUUUUCAAGAAAAGGCUCACCAAGCAGAUGAAGAAUCCAAUUACAAGAGUUUUGAAACUCGGAACACCGAGAUAGAAGAAGAAAUGUUGCUCGAGUUGCACGAUCAUGACAUAAGGGACGCAAUCCAACUUUUGAAGUAUCACUUAUCUUUACUAGCCAGCAUCCUAUGUAACUUUUUGAUGCUGUAAAAUUUAACAUAUAGAUUAUGACGUAUAAGUUGAUGACAUCAUGUCACUUUUUGUUAAUGUACGAAAUUAUGUUUGGAUAUAAAAUAUAAUUCUCAAAUUAUUUAUUA